rfam:Pantoea ananatis LMG 20103, complete genome.
GGAUGAGCCGACAGGAGGUCGGCGAGAGUCAGGCCGCGCCAGGGAUGGCGCGUCCUGGCGGUCC